rnacentral:misc_RNA from 1 species
CUCGUAUUUUCGAUCGAAAACUUUUCUAAACGCGUGCCAUUCUUCAAAAAUCCUCGAUCGCCACUCCCAUGAAUAUUCAUCCGUGUCAAAGAAUUAAUUUACAAUUUGCAUACUUCGUAAGGCCCACCAAUACGAUUUUUUAUUGAUUCCCGAUCGUAUCUGUUCGCGAUAAGUUUUUUCUUUCUUCGCCGACGUUGCUCGAUGCUCGUUGACGAAGUCGAAAGAACGAGAAGAUAGAAGAGAGAAGAGAGGCUUUGGUACCGUUCCAUUCCUCCGCUGGAUAUUUUUAAAUCCAUUAAAAAGUCGACCGUCGUCGACCUUCGCGACGAUUAAUUAAAUAUUUUAUUGAUUUUCGUCGGCUAUCAUUGCGAACGAAAUUGAUCGGCGAUAGGUGUUCGAAACAGCAUGUCGUCGAGGUGACAUCGCGCGUUGAUAGUGAUAUUACACGCGUUACUGUCCAUAAGUAUGCUUGGACACCUAGUACGAUUCGAUCAAAAAAUUCAUAUUUUCGUUAUAUUCUGAACGUUAUGACAGAGGAACGUGUCUCUAUCAUUGAAUUCUUUUCCUUUCGCCACGACCGAGACAAGAACGCUCCGUUAAAUUUAACCCAGCUACGAUCCGCGAAUUUUCAUAUUUCGAUCUUGCUCUCAUUUCAGCGAACAAAAAGAAUUUUUAACGUUCUGAGAACACAAUCGUUUGUUCCGGGAAAU